rnacentral:rRNA from 1 species
AUACGUAGGGGGCGAGCGUUAUCCGGAUUUAUUGGGCGUAAAGCGUGUGUAGGCGGUUUGUUAAGUUUAAGAUUAAAGCCCGAGGCUUAACCUCGGUUCGUCUUAAAAACUGGCAGACUUGAGUGCAGGAGAGGUAAGCGGAAUUCCUAGUGUAGCGGUGAAAUGCGUAGAUAUUAGGAGGAACACCAGUGGCGAAGGCGGCUUACUGGACUGUAACUGACACUGAGGCACGAAAGCGUGGGGAGCAAACAGGAUUAGAUACCCUGGUAGUCCACGCUGUAAACGAUGAAUACUAGGUGUAGGGGGUAUCAACUCCCUCUGUGCCGCAGCAAACGCAAUAAGUAUUCCGCCUGGGGAGUACGGCCGCAAGGUUGAAACUCAAAUGAAUUGGCGGGG